CUAAGCAUAUCAAUAAGCGGAGGAAAAGAAACCAACAGGGAUUGCCCUAGUAACGGCGAGUGAAGCGGCAACAGCUCAAAUUUGAAAUCUGGCUCUUUCAGAGUCCGAGUUGUAAUUUGCAGAGGGCGCUUUGGCGUUGGCAGCGGUCCAAGUUCUUUGGAACAGGACGUCACAGAGGGUGAGAAUCCCGUACGUGGUCGCUAUCCUUCGCCGUGUAAAGCCCCUUCGACGAGUCGAGUUGUUUGGGAAUGCAGCUCUAAAUGGGAGGUAAAUUUCUUCUAAAGCUAAAUACUGGCCAGAGACCGAUAGCGCACAAGUAGAGUGAUCGAAAGAUGAAAAGCACUUUGGAAAGAGAGUCAAACAGCACGUGAAAUUGUUGAAAGGGAAGCGCUUGCAGCCAGACUUGCCUGUAGUUGCUUAUCCGGACUUUUGUCCGGUGCACUCUUCUAUAGGCAGGCCAGCAUCAGUUUGGGCGGUUAGAUAAAGGUCUCUGUCAUGUACCUCUCUUCGGAGAGGCCUUAUAGGGGAGACGACAUGUAACCAGCCUGGACUGAGGUCCGCGCAUCUGCUAGGAUGCUGGCGUAAUGGCUGUAAGCGGCCCGUCUUGAAACACGGACCAAGGAGUCUAACAUCUAUGCGAGUGUUUGGGUGUCAAGCCCAGACGCGUAAUGAAAGUGAACGGAGGUAAGAACCCUUUGGGUGCAUUAUCGACCGAUCCUGAUGUCUUCGGAAGGAUUUGAGUAAGAGCAUGGCUGUUGGGACCCGAAAGAUGGUGAACUAUGCUUGAAUAGGGUGAAGCCAGAGGAAACUCUGGUGGAGGCUCGCAGCGGUUCUGACGUGCAAAUCGAUCGUCAAAUUUGGGCAUAGGGGCGAAAGACUAAUCGAACUAUCUAGUAGCUGGUUCCCUGCCGAAUUUUUCCCCU
rnacentral:rRNA from 1 species